GAUGAACGCUGGCGGCGUGCCUAAUACAUGCAAGUCGAGCGAACAGACGAGGAGCUUGCUCCUCUGACGUUAGCGGCGGACGGGUGAGUAACACGUGGAUAACCUACCUAUAAGACUGGGAUAACUUCGGGAAACCGGAGCUAAUACCGGAUAAUAUAUUGAACCGCAUGGUUCAAUAGUGAAAGACGGUUUUGCUGUCACUUAUAGAUGGAUCCGCGCCGCAUUAGCUAGUUGGUAAGGUAACGGCUUACCAAGGCAACGAUGCGUAGCCGACCUAAGAGGGUGAUCGGCCACACUGGAACUGAGACACGGUCCAGACUCCUACGGGAGGCAGCAGUAGGGAAUCUUCCGCAAUGGGCGAAAGCUUGACGGAGCAACGCCGCGUGAGUGAUGAAGGUCUUCGGAUCGUAAAACUCUGUUAUUAGGGAAGAACGAAUGUGUAAGUAACUAUGCACGUCUUGACGGUACCUAAUCAGAAAGCCACGGCUAACUACGUG
rnacentral:rRNA from 1 species